UCUAACCAUUAUUGUUCCUCUUCUGCACUCCACAAACACCACCGCGCCGGUAACCACCCUUCACAACACAACCUCACAGCCAUAUCUAAACUUCAGCACGCUCGCGAUUCCCUCUCAACCACCUCCGUUUACGUCGUCACAACUCUACGAAGAAGCUUAUCUUUCGUUCUUCUCCGGCCACGAACCAACAACCUCCGCCGUGAACCGCUCACGACCAUCGUCGCACAACUAUCCUCCCCUUCUUCAACACACACCAACAUCUG
rnacentral:lncRNA from 1 species